rnacentral:rRNA from 1 species
GACAGAGGGUGCAAACGUUGUUCGGAAUUACUGGACGUAAAGCGCGUGUAGGCGGUUCGAUAAGUCGGAUGUGAAAGCCCCGGGCUCAACCCGGGAAGUGCACUCGAUACUGUCGAGCUAGAGUAUCGGAGAGGUUGGUGGAAUUCUCGGUGUAGAGGUGAAAUUCGUAGAUAUCGAGAGGAACACCGGUGGCGAAGGCGGCCAACUGGACGAAUACUGACGCUGAGACUCGAAAGCGUGGGGAGCAAACAGG